CCUCAAAUCAGGUAGGACUACCCGCUGAACUUAAGCAUAUCAAUAAGCGGAGGAAAAGAAACUAACMAGGAUUCCCCUAGUAACUGCGAGUGAAGCGGGAAAAGCUCAAAUUUAAAAUCUGGUAGUCUUUGGCUAUCCGAGUUGUAAUCUAGAGAAGCGUUAUCCGCGCUGGACCGUGUAUAAGUCUCCUGGAAUGGAGCGUCAUAGAGGGUGAGAAUCCCGUCUUUGACACGGACUACCAGGGCUUUGUGAUACGCUCUCAAAGAGUCGAGUUGUUUGGGAAUGCAGCUCUAAAUGGGUGGUAAAUUCCAUCUAAAGCUAAAUAUUGGCGAGAGACCGAUAGCGAACAAGUACCGUGAGGGAAAGAUGAAAAGAACUUUGGAAAGAGAGUUAAACAGUACGUGAAAUUGUUGAAAGGGAAACGCUUGAAGUCAGUCGCGUUGACCGGGGAUCAACCUUGCUUCUGCUUGGUGUACUUCCUGGUUGACGGGUCAGCAUCAAUUUUGACCAGUGGAAAAAGUUCAAGGGAAUGUGGCAUCUUCGGAUGUGUUAUAGCCUUUGUUCGUAUACAUUGGUUGGGAUUGAGGAACUCAGCACGCCGCAAGGCCGGGUUUCGACCACGUUCGUGCUUAGGAUGCUGGCAUAAU
rnacentral:rRNA from 1 species